GACGAACGCUGGCGGCGUGCUUAACACAUGCAAGUCGAACGGAAAGGCCCCUUUGGGGGUACUCGAGUGGCGAACGGGUGAGUAACACGUGAGUAACCUGCCCUUGACUUCGGGAUAACUUCAGGAAACUGGGGCUAAUACCGGAUAGGAAUCCUUGCUGCAUGGUGGGGGUUGGAAAGCUUCGGCGGUUUUGGAUGGACUCGCGGCUUAUCAGCUUGUUGGUGGGGUAGUGGCUUACCAAGGCUUUGACGGGUAGCCGGCCUGAGAGGGCGACCGGCCACAUUGGGACUGAGAUACGGCCCAGACUCCUACGGGAGGCAGAAGUGGGGAAUAUUGCACAAGGGGCGGAAGCCGGAUGCAGCAACGCCGCGUGCGGGAUGACGGCCUUCGGGUUGUAAACCGCUUUCAGCAGGGGCGAAGCUUGUGGUGACGGUACCUGCAGAAGAAGCACCGGCUAACUACGUG
rnacentral:rRNA from 1 species